rnacentral:rRNA from 1 species
UACAGAGGUCCCAAGCGUUGUUCGGAUUUACUGGGCGUAAAGGGUGCGUAGGCGGCUUUGAAAGUCUGGUGUGAAAGCUCAGAGCUUAACUCUGAAACCGCAUUGGAAACUUCAAGACUAGAGGAAUGGAGGGGGGGCUGGAAUUCUCGGUGUAGCAGUGAAAUGCGUAGAUAUCGAGAGGAACACCAGUGGCGAAGGCGAGCCCCUAGACAUAUCCUGACGCUGAGGCACGAAAGCCAAGGGAGCAAACGGG